rnacentral:tRNA from 1 species
AUCUCGCUGGUCAGCGGGCGGUCGUGCACCGGGUGGUGGUCGGUCUGGGGGCGGUUACCCACGGGCCGGUCCUUUCGGUCUCGGGGUGC